rnacentral:lncRNA from 1 species
AAGAAUUGUGGUUUCAGGCAUAUGGCUUUUGCUAUUAAGCUUUAUUGUCGUCUCUUAUUGGUGAGAAUGAUAUAUUGUUUAAAACUAAGGAGUUGUGAUAGCAUGUUACUGAACCUACAGCAAAAUACCAUCUCAGUUACAUUUAUGAUUUGAUGCCUAAACUAAUGGAAUGAGCAUGAGAGCAGCAAUGAGUGGUGCAUGCAAAGAAUUGGGACAUGGACAAAAAACAGGCUAUUUCUUAUUUAUUGGCAACUUUUUACAAAAUUGAGAGCGGCUGGCAGUUGUCAGAAAGAAGGCCUGGAUGGUCAAUCUCCUUGUACCGAUGGGAAAAUGAACCGGUUCUCUGGAUUUAUUCUAGUCAAACACAGAGCCAGGCUGAACAGGGCUUUUGCUGCUCCAUCUUUGAGUUCCUGGGCAACUAUGUGGCUCCCUGAGCUUUUGUUAAGAAAAGCAGAAGCACCAGGGCACCCAGAUCCUGACGGCAUGUGGUAGGUGGAGAUUGCUCUCCUGCCCUGCAAGUUGGGCAAAUAGGAUGAAAAUUUCUGCACGUUUGAAGAGAUGGAGUCUCACAACGCUGCCCAGAGUAGUUUCCAACUCCUGGUCUCAAGCAAUCUUCCCGUCUCGACUUCUCAAAAAUACUGAGAUUACAGACAUGAGCCACUGUGCUCGGCCUCCUAUGUCCUGAUUCUAACUUUGGAGCUUAGACUGCUGAAUAAGGAGGAGGCUUUUAAUUACUCUCCAGACUCGAG